UGGGGAAUAUUGGACAAUGGGCGCAAGCCUGAUCCAGCAAUGCCGCGUGUGUGAAGAAGGCCUUCGGGUUGUAAAGCACUUUUAUCAGGAGCGAAACGCUGUCGGCUAAUACCCGGCGGAACUGACGGUACCUGAGGAAUAAGCACCGGCUAACUUCGUGCCAGCAGCCGCGGUAAUACGAAGGGUGCAAGCGUUAAUCGGAAUUACUGGGCGUAAAGCGUGCGUAGGCGGUUUCUUAAGUCUGCUGUGAAAUCCCCGGGCUCAACCUGGGAAUGGCAGUGGAUACUGGGGAGGCUAGAGUGUGUGCAGAGGGUGGUCGGAAUUCCCGGUGUAGCGGUGAAAUGCGUAGAGAUCGGGAGGAACAUCAGUGGCGAAGGCGGCCACCUGGGACAACACUGACGCUGAGGCACGAAAGCGUGGGGAGCAAACAGGAUUAGAUACCCUGGUAGUCCACGCCCUAAAACGAUGCGAACUGGAUGUUGGUCUCAACUCGGAGAUACAGUGGUCGAAGCUGAACGCGUUAAGUUCAGCCGCCUAGGGGAAGUACGGGUCGCAAGACUGAAACUCAAAUGAAUUGACGGGGGUCAUAGCUGUUUCCUG
rnacentral:rRNA from 1 species